GGACUAGCUGAGAGGAGGUGCAUGGCCGUCGUCAGUUCGUACUGUGAAGCAUCCUGUUAAGUCAGGCAACGAGCGAGACCCACGCCAACAGUUGCCAGCUCGUCCUCCGGGAUGGUGGGGACACUGUUGGGACCGCCUCUGCUAAAGAGGAGGAAGGAAUGGGCAACGGUAGGUCAGCAUGCCCCGAAUUAUCUGGGCUACACGCGGGCUACAAUGGGUGGGACAAUGGGUAUCGACACCGAAAGGUGAAGGCAAUCUCCUAAACCCAUCCGUAGUUCGGAUUGUGGGCUGCAACUCGCCCACAUGAAGCUGGAAUCUGUAGUAAUCGUGUCUCAAAAUGGCACGGUGAAUAUGUCCCUGCUCCUU
rnacentral:rRNA from 1 species